UUUAACUUGGGCAGUGCAUUUCGCGCCAUCACUUAACUGGCCUUACCUGAUGGCGGCUCGUGUCCGCAAGGGGAUCAGCGCUGUUGUUUGCCCUUCUUUUGUGUCUCUCAGCCUAUCCCCUUGCGCGCUUCCCCUGAUCUGCGGCGUUCUCCGCCGCUCAGAGCAUGUGCUUGGGUAGCGUCAGGCAGACAAUCGUCUCCUUAACAUCGUUCGCGUGCACGCUACUGGUUUCAGCGCCGGUGGACGAUGAUUAGACGAACUUGGUGUCUAUGCCGGUGCUUGAGCAUCGACCAGGUGGCGAAGAUUGUAAAAGCGAAGCAGAGUUGUAGUGAUGCUGUCCGCAACAUCCAACUCAUCGACGUUCGAUCGACGGCCGAGGUCGCGGCGACGGGGAUGAUUCCUUCUGCCAUUAAUGUUCCGCUACCGGUUCUGCGGGAUGUUCUCAGCCAGGACGGUAUCCUCGAGGAUGAUGAAUUCGAGUUCUUCUUCGGCGGUGCUCGCCCCGUCCAAGGAGUGACUCAGAUGGUGCUCUACUGCGCCCACGGCGUCCGCUCUGCCAUCGCCUGCGAGAUCGCAGAGGAACUUGGCUUUGAAAACGUCGGCAAUUUCUCCGGCAGCUGGGCUCAGUGGUACCAUGCAUACGGCACCCCCAGCACCUCUGCGGCGGCGCCAGAGUCUUUGCAUACUCCACUCAAGUGAAGGAGGUUGGGCGGACGAUGAUUUCGUUACCGUGUGCAGGAUCACUCGAUUCAGCUGUUCUUACGAUCGUUACAGCGCCUCUCACUCGGACGGCACCUCCUG
rnacentral:misc_RNA from 1 species